rnacentral:rRNA from 1 species
CAGCCGCCGCGGUAAUACGGAGGAUCCAAGCGUUAUCCGGAUUUAUUGGGUUUAAAGGGUGCGUAGGCGGCCUAUUAAGUCAGGGGUGAAAGACGGUAGCUUAACUAUCGCAGUGCCUUUGAUACUGAUGGGCUUGAAUAUACUUGAGGUAGGCGGAAUGUGACAAGUAGCGGUGAAAUGCAUAGAUAUGUCACAGAACACCAAUUGCGAAGGCAGCUUACUAAAGUAUGAUUGACGCUGAGGCACGAAAGCGUGGGGAUCAAACAGGAUUAGAUACCCGUGUAGUCCCUGUCUCUUAUAA